GACGAACGCUGGCGGCGUGCUUAACACAUGCAAGUCGAACGGAAAGGCCCUGCUUGCAGGGUACUCGAGUGGCGAACGGGUGAGUAACACGUGGGUGAUCUGCCCUGCACUUUGGGAUAAGCCUGGGAAACUGGGUCUAAUACCGGAUAGGAGCCAUUUUUAGUGUGAUGGUUGGAAAGUUUUUCGGUGUAGGAUGAGCUCGCGGCCUAUCAGCUUGUUGGUGGGGUAAUGGCCUACCAAGGCGGCGACGGGUAGCCGGCCUGAGAGGGUGGACGGCCACAUUGGGACUGAGAUACGGCCCAGACUCCUACGGGAGGCAGCAGUGGGGAAUAUUGCACAAUGGGCGCAAGCCUGAUGCAGCGACGCCGCGUGGGGGAUGACGGCC
rnacentral:rRNA from 1 species